GCGGGAAGGAGGCAGCCUGGAAGAAGGUGUUCGUUCAGCUGCAGAGCUUCGACUCCACAUAGGUGGAUACAGUGUGGAGUUAGCACAGGCCAGCUGCAGCCCAUCUCCCCUGCCUGCAACACCCUGAAGAACACUCUUAUUUUCAAGCAUCACACGACUAGCUCGGACCCACCCAGUGUCAUCUUCCUCUGGCAACAGAAGAACAAUCACAGCUGCACCUGGGAAAGGAUCAUGGCUCCUGGAUCGUGUUCCCUAGGUCUCCACCCUGGAAACCUACAAGCUGGAGGAAGAGAGCAUGUGAAAAGCAAAGACUGGAGAGAUUCCUAAAUAAAAGGUAGGCGGUACUCCACCUCCUCUAAGACCUCAUCUGCCUUAGCGAGUCUGUGCUUCCUGGAACAUUCCAAAGCUCUGACCUCCUUGGGCUGGUUUGUUGCUCAGGAAUGGCAGGGUGGUGGGACCUAUGGCUUGUCCAGAUGAUUGAAGCCAUUGGAUGUCAAGAGAGAAUACCAUCUACAAUCGAGAAACUGCGCUCAGGAAAACUAAUCUUCUAUGAGAUGAAGGCUGGGUUGCCUCUUUAGCAUCUGUGGACCACUCUUAUAUGUCGAAUACUCAAAUGACCCAAGAGUAGCCCAUUAUAGUGUUGACAUGGUGACCAUCUUCAAUCAUGACCUGCAGGAUUAAGAAGACAGUGUCUGUGAAGCUCUCCGAGACUGGUGAGUGAGUGCCCAUGGGAGAGAAAGGAAGAUCUGGAUGGGCCCUGCUUUCCAUGUGCUACGAUGGAAGCAGUCUUGAGCCCAGGCAGUCUUCUUUGUGCGUGGUGGUGGGACCAUCUGCUUCCUAAGACAGGAAUCUUAUCACUCUUGUCCAUCACCAUAUCAUCAGUGCCUACAACAAUGCUGAUACGAAGUAGGUACGCAGUAAUAUUGAGGGAUGACUAAGUGAAUGAUUUGUUGCAAUUUUUCUUUUCCCCCAAAUGAAGUAAAUGUAGUCGAAGUUUAACUGGUGCUGGUAUCCCUAGUGCAGAGAAAUUGUUAGCAUUCGUGGUGGUGAUGGGGAGAGGAUCAUCAUGAUUAGACUAAGAGAUAAUGUACUGCCUUGCUCUGGUUGCAAAAGCCCAGCAUAAAUCAAAUGGUCAAAGAUAAAAAAUAAUCAUCACCAGUGUGCUGAGUGCAUCCAUCAAUAGACAACUUCUGGUAAGUUUUGUAAAAGCAUAAUUUGGUACCACCUCUUUGGAGAAGAAGGUUGGCAAAAAGUUUUAAAAUAUUUAAAUAUGUUCAAUAGUUUAGCUGCAGCCAGAUAAACUGAUUAUAUAACUAGUUCUAGUAGUUUAUCUUAAGGAGCUACCUGAGAAUACACACGGAUGUUGAACGACUGGGGUGUUUAACAUAGAAAAAAUAUUGGAAAUAUCUUUAAUGUUCUACAUAGUAAAUUGUGGCUCUGGAAUAACACGCUGCCAUUUAUUUUUGUGUUCAUGAGGAUGAGGUUUGGCUUAGGUAACAGAGAAAAAAUUGUGGGUUUAGUUUUUUAUGAGAAACUUUAGGGCUUUGAUGGGGCUCCUCAGUCUUCUGGAAUUGAGCUUCCGGAUUAGGAAUGGUGAAAACUCCUAGCACUGGGAAGCCAUGACAGAGUUCUGAAAAGCAUAUGGCUUUCAACUGAUCUGCUCCUUCUUUGUAAAAAUGUCCUAAUUCUUCUCAACAAAGUUUGGAGCUGCUCUUGUUUGUGUGACUUAUGCAAACUCAAUCAGGGCUUAUGAAGAUUCUAGACAACGAGGUUGGGAAUAUGGGACUCCAGAUGGUCAUGACUCUGUCUCCCUGAUUAAGCUGCUUUUAAUUUUUGUUGGCUCUUUCACUUCCUUUAUAAUCUAAAUUAAUAAACAGUCAAAGUUUGGAGAAACACAUUUUUUUUUAAACUUUGAUGCUGCCGUGAUAAAAGGCGUAUGUGGAGGGCAAAGAGGUUUAUUUUAGUCUUUCCCAGCAGAGCCCCAUGCGUAAUUGUGUUGGGUGAUGUCCGAGACACCAAGAAGCGUUUGUAAAGAUUUUCUUUACAAGCCCACAUUUGCAGCCUUCUAUGAAAGGAAGGCAGCAUUUGCUCAUUAGGAUGGACCCCGAAGCAAGGAAAACAUCACCAGUCUUCCUGGAACACUCGAUUCAAUCAAAUUAGGUAGGAGAGCAUCACUUCAAUUCCAGCAUUGAAAGGCCAUGGCCCCAAGCCAAAAUAAUGGGCAUUAAGUGUUGACUAUGAUUACUUCUUGGAGGCAAAGAGUUCUGGGAACCUGUGUGGGAUGAGAACUUAGGGAGUUCCAAAGGACUGAAGUCAGUGGUGAAAUGGUGACAUGUUCAUGGCAGGUAGAGCCCUGAUUUACUGGGUAGGAAAGAGUUAGACACAGCACUCGUCCUGGUGGAGGACAGAACAGUGUCUCAAUUUAUAUAUUUCCUCCAGUUUUAUUGAGAUACAGUUAAUGUACAGAAUUGUGUUAGUUUAAGAGGUAUAAUGUAGUGAUUUGAUAUAUGUAUAUAUUGCAAAAUGAUUACCACAGUAAGUUUAGUUAACAUCCAUCAUCUCUCACAUAACUACAGCUUUUUCCCCAUGGGAUGUGAACUUUUAAGGUCUAUUCUCUUGGUGGCUUUCAAAUAUACGGUACAGGAUCAUGCACUGUAGUCAUCAAGCUGUCCAUUAGCUCCCCAAGAAUCAUGCAUCUUGUACGUGGAAGUUUGUUUUUGACCGCCUUCACCCAUUUCUCCUAUCCCCACCCCUUCCUCUGCCAACCAUCAAUCCAUUCUCAGUUUAUACAUUUUUGAUAGCAACUUCCAUCAUAUUGAUGUUUCAUGGGUCUCUUAAAUGGGCAUUUUCAUCAGAGGCAUUUAUAACAAAAUCAGAGAGAAGUCAAUAGUGCAAGUGCUUUACUCUAUGAGGGACUCAAUGGGUUGCAAGAAAUGGCAACCAGCUUGAGUGGGCUGAUGUACUAGAAACUUUUGUAAAAGGAUUGGAAAUAUCCUAUAAGCAAGUAUGGCUAGGUGAAAAAAAAUCUGGAACCAGGAAUGGUAAAGCUAUUAGGAGUCUGGUGAACUUGACCGACCAGCUCUCUCUGAUUACAGGUGGCGGUACCAGGUUCUGGAUGGUUGCUACAGAUAAAAACUACUACGUAUAAAAUAGAUAAACAACCAUGUUCUACUGUCUAGCACAGGGAACUAUA